UACGGGGGGGGCAAGCGUUGUUCGGAAUUACUGGGCGUAAAGGGCUCGUAGGCGGCCAACUAAGUCAGACGUGAAAUCCCCCGGCUCAACCGGGGAAGGGGCGCCGAGACGGCCGGCCUGGAGGGACGUAGGGGGGGCUGGAACUUCCGGUGGAGCGGUGAAAUGCGUUGAGAUCGGAAGGAACGCCCGUGGCGAAAGCGAGCCCCUGGACGUCUACUGACGCUGAGACGCGAAAGCCAGGGGAGCGAACGGG
rnacentral:rRNA from 1 species